rnacentral:lncRNA from 1 species
AAUAAGAUGAGAGCCAGGAGAAAGGCUCUUUUAAUAAAAUAAUGCUAGCUGAUAAACGUACAUGGAAUAAUACAAUUAUAAAAUUAGCACUUUCAACACUAAUGUAAUAAUUGAUUCAAACAAGAAUGGUCAGUGAAUGCCAAAACCAUUGAGUGAAAGGUUGCAGAACAGGAUAUUUAUGUGGUCUGAAAGUAUCCCCCCAGAGAUUAUUUGGGGGUAAAAGGAAAAGUAUACUUUUACAAUAGACAUAUCUUCAUAACAUUAUCUUAUCAUCCUCCUAGCAUAAGUAGAUUUUUUUAGUUGGGCACCCUUUUUAUUCAUAAUAUUAGUAAUUUGUGUCUUCACUUUUUCUCUGUGAUUAGUUUCAGUGAAUGUUUAUCAAUUUGAUUAAUUUUUAAAGUAAUUUUUUACUGCUGUUUUUCUCUCUUUUGUUUCAGGUGGGGGAAACAGAAAAAUGUACUUUUACAAUGGACAUAUUUGAUAUUCCACACCUUAACUAAUUUCUACUCAUAUUUGUUAUUUUCUUCUUUACAUUUACUUUGAGUUUAACUUGUAGCUUAGCUCACUGACUUGAGCAUUUCCUUCUUUUUGACUAUAUCAAAGUUAUAAAUUUCCCUUUAAGCAAUGCGUGGCUGCAUGUCACAAAUUUUGAAAUGUUUUCAAUAUCAUUCAGUUUAUUUCCUACUUUUUUUAUUGUAACUUCUUUGACCUCCUCUGGAUUAUUUAUAUAUGUUGCUUAAUUUCUAAAUAUCUGGAGAUUUUCUAGAUACCUUAUUUUAUAUAUAUAUAAUAUAUAUAAUAUAUAAUAUAUAUACACAUAUGGACAGAGAGAGAGAGAGAGAGACGGAGUCUCACUCUGUUGCCCAGUCUGGCAUGCAGUGGCUUGAUCUCAGCUCACUGCAACUACCGCCUCCCAGGCUCAAGCAAUUCUCCUGCCUCAGCCUCCUGAGUAGCUGGGAUUAAAGGCAUGCACCACCAUGCCCAGAUAAUUUUUGUAUUUUUAGUAGAGAUGGGGCUUCAUGUUGGUCAGGCUGAUCUCAAACUCCUGACAUCUUGAUCUGCCCGCCUCGACCUCCCAAAGUGCUGGGAUUACAGCCGUGAGCCAUUGUGCCCAGCCAUUACUAUUAAUUUCUAAUUUAAUACUGAUAUAGUCAGAGAACAUCCUCCAUAAGAUUUUAAUCCUUUGACUUCUUUUUUUCAGGGAUGUACAAAUGUCUUUUUAUUCAAAGAGACAAAAUAAAUUAUCUGUAGGCAUGGACAACAACAGUGGUAAGCCAUUAUAUAUUUUGUCAACUGAAACCAGUAACUGAUGGUUACAGUGAUUUCUUAAACGUCAGCCAGCCUUUUCUUCAUUUUCUCCAACCGACUUCUCUGAAGCUAUUGGUGAGGCACACUGCCUUGGGCUUCCUGCCACAGUUCAUUAAUAAAGGCUGGCUGCACUACUUAAAUUACCUGCACAAGGCCUUGUUGCUUCUUGCUCGCAGACCAAGAAGUGCCCAGCCUGUCUUCUAACACCAGGUUUCUCCAAGAUAGGAGGAGGAUUUUCGUCAGAGGAAGAAACCUCCACUCCAGAUGAAAUAGGGAGCACUCACCCCUGAUCAGGUAUGGUGCUGAGCACUUUACCUGAAAUACUUUAGUUAAUUCUCACCAAAGCCUUGGUGAGGCUAAUAGUAUUUCACUAAUACUGUUAAUACUGUAUUUCCCCCUUUUUGGGCUUGAGAACAAAAGGCUCAGAGAGGUUGAGAACUUGCCCAAAACUAGAAGUAGAAAAACUGGGAUUUGUAUCCAGCUGUGUCAGGCUGCCAAGCCCAUGCACUGGGCUUUGAAUGAAAGUCCUUGCUUUCACCAGCAUUGCUCACUAGACUCAGGGUGUGCCUCAAGGAGUGCCUUCUCCAGUCCUCCUUGCCUGGAUCCUUGAGUUCUGAUAGGCAGACUCUGGCUUGUGAAGCUCUGUAGAUUGUCUCUCAUCAGGAUUUGGAGGGGGUGGGGGGUGCCUCUUAUCCUCAUCUAAGUAAUUACAUCCAUUGAUGUAAUUGACUGGAUCCUUGAGUUCUGAUAGGCAGACUCUGGCUUGCAAAGCUCUCCAGAUCACCUUUCACCCGGAUUUGGAGGGGAGAAUGCCUCUUAUCCUCAUCCAAGUAAUUACAUCCACUGGGGAUAGCAAUGAAUAAAUUAUGCCUUCUUUUGUCUAUACCCCUUUCCAAUGUGACUUUGCUGUUCACCCAUUGAGGGGUGAAGUCUAUUUCCCCACCGCCUGAAUCUGGACUGAUCCUGGGACUUGCUUUGACCAAGAGAAUGAAGUGGAAGUGAUGUUCUGAAAUUGUCAGACCAGGCCUUAGGAGGCCUUGUGGAUUCAGCCCUUGCUCUCAAAACUCAUCCCUUAUGUAAAGAAAUCUAGGCAAUCCUGCUUCAGAGAGACCACUUGGAGAGGGAGACCAUUUGGAGGAGAACUGAAGCACCCCAGCCCGCUGUCAGCAGCAAGCUUCCAGACCUGUGAAUGAGGUUCUUUUGGAUCUUCUAUUGCUAACUGUGUUUGUCUCAGCUGACCCCAUGCAGAGCAAACACAAGCCAUCCACACUGAGCCCAGACAACUUACAUAACUGGGAGCAAUGGCUGUUGUUUUAAGUCAUUAGUUUUAGGAUGGUGUGUGAUGCAGUGAUAGAUAAGCAAUACAGUACAUCAACGGAGAGGAAAGCUGUAUUAAAACCUAAAAGAAUGAUUUACUUUUCAAUAACUUUUUAAGAGUAUAAAUUGACUUAACAAUUCCACUUUUUUUCUUGGCUGAGGGUUAAUUUGUUAACAAAGAAAAAUGUUAUGAAUGCAAAGGAAAUUGAAGAAACCACUUAAUCUAAAGAAAUUAUUAUUAAAACAAAUCCAUUCAUACCCAGCAUUUCCCUAAAGUCAACAACUAAGCCAGA